rnacentral:lncRNA from 1 species
GUGAGGUGGUGCUAUGUAGCAGGAACCCCUCUUGCUUUGCAAAUAGUUUUUUGUUUGUUUUCCUUUUUGCCCAAUAGAGCCCUGCUCUACUGACCCUUCAAUGUGCCCGUGUGCCUAAAUAUUCCUGGUCGUGUGAAAAGAACCCAGGUAUUAGCUGAACUAAGGAGCACAAUUCUGCAACAUUUUGGCACCCAAACACGGGGCUUGAGAAAUGAAUGCAAUUGGAGAAACUGGUUGUUUUACCAGGCGUUGAUUGGAAAUGUGUGCUUCCCUUUAAGCAGUCAAGCUCAACUUGCAGAACUGAUGGGAACCCCUUGGGAAAACUGGCCUCAAAUGUUUGUCUACACAGUCCACAUACAGGGUUCUUAACCUGCGGUGAGUAAAGAAUGUCACUUUCCAACAGGCCCAGAUAUCAUAUGCUCUUGGGACCUCAAGAAGAGAGGAGUUUACCCAAUUCAUAGGUGUGUGAGGAUAAAAACCUAGGGCUGGGCUCAGCUUUAAAUGGUCUUAUCUGAGAUUCUUUGUGAAACAGAUUUUCAUGAAAGCCAAUCUAGAGGGCCUACGUAGAAAUAAUUGUUUUUGCUGCACUUUAUGCACAUAAUCAAGCCAAUUAUAAGACUAAAGUCUAUAUUGCAAGCAACACACUCCUAUUAUGAUUUGUUUUUAACAGAAAUGAGGACGAGACAGAGAGAAAUUAUGUUUCAAAACUUAUCAUCAUUAGUUUCUAGACUUAUUAUUUCUUUUUAAGUUUUUACCUACAUUUUAGACUGACCCUGCUUGUGCCUGUGAACCAACCAACAAUCUCUGGCUGCAGCUCAGAAAGGACAAAAGAGAAUGGUGGACUGGAGCCCAAAAUGCACACUGGAGGAAGUGGAUGGAGCCACGUGGAUGUCAUGCCUUAUGCAGGGGAGGAGCCUGCUCUCUUCAGCUCCUGUGGUAAUGUGGGAAUCGAUCUGUGAGGAAACACUUUCUGAAAAUGUCAGAACUCUUGAAAACAUGGAUGAGGAAAAGCAUAAGUACUGCUUUAUGCUUUUCUUAUGAAUUUUAAAAGAUGUAAUUUAAAGGUACUUUAAAGUGAUAUUUGUGCCCUUGUAACUGAUUCAAAGUAGACUGCUAAGGACAAUAAGUAAUAAGAGUCUACAAAUAUCAGUAAAUUAUGAGAAAAAACGGUCUAAUGGUACUUAAAAUUGCAUUGUGAUUUAUUAAAUAACAUUGAACAGCUCCA